GGAGAUAUGGCUUGGUGGUUAAGAGCACUGGAUGCUCUUCCAAAGGACCCAGGUUCAAUCCCUAGCAUCUUCA
rnacentral:tRNA from 1 species